rnacentral:rRNA from 1 species
AGAGUUUGAUCAUGGCUCAGAUUGAACGCUGGCGGAAUGCUUUACACAUGCAAGUCGAGCGGCAGCGCGGGGCAACCUGGCGGCGAGCGGCGAACGGGUGAGUAAUGCAUCGGAACAUGUCCAUGUCGUGGGGGAUAGCCCGGCGAAAGCCGGAUUAAUACCGCAUAAGCCCUGAGGGGGAAAGUGGGGGACCGCAAGGCCUCACGCGAUUGGGUUGGCCGAUGUCCGAUUAGCUAGUUGGCGGGGUAAGAGCCCACCAAGGCGAUGAUCGGUAGCUGGUCUGAGAGGAUGAUCAGCCACACUGGGACUGAGACACGGCCCAGACUCCUACGGGAGGCAGCAGUGGGGAAUUUUGGACAAUGGGGGCAACCCUGAUCCAGCCAUUCCGCGUGAGUGAAGAAGGCCUUCGGGUUGUAAAGCUCUUUUGUCCGGAACGAAACGGUUACGGUGAAUACCCGUGACUACUGACGGUACCGGAAGAAUAAGCACCGGCUAACUACGUGCCAGCAGCCGCGGUAAUACGUAGGGUGCGAGCGUUAAUCGGAAUUACUGGGCGUAAAGCGUGCGCAGGCGGUUUUGUAAGCCAGAUGUGAAAUCCCCGGGCUUAACCUGGGAAUGGCAUUUGGGACUGCAAGGCUGGAGUGCGGCAGAGGAGACUGGAAUUCCUGGUGUAGCAGUGAAAUGCGUAGAUAUCAGGAGG